rnacentral:rRNA from 1 species
UACGUAGGGUCCGAGCGUUGUCCGGAAUUAUUGGGCGUAAAGGGCUCGUAGGCGGUUUGUCGCGUCGGCUGUGAAAACCUGGGGCUCAACCCCGGGCCUGCAGCCGAUACGGGCAAACUAGAAUUCGGUAGGGGAGACUGGAAUUCCUGGUGUAGCGGUGAAAUGCGCAGAUAUCAGGAGGAACACCGGUGGCGAAGGCGGGUCUCUGGGCCGAUAUUGACGCUGAGGAGCGAAAGCGUGGGGAGCGAACAGG